rnacentral:rRNA from 1 species
CGGGUGAGUAACGCGUGAGGAACCUGCCUCAAAGAGGGGGACAACAGUUGGAAACGACUGCUAAUACCGCAUAAGCCCACGGCUCGGCAUCGAGCAGAGGGAAAAGGAGUGAUCCGCUUUGAGAUGGCCUCGCGUCCGAUUAGCUAGUUGGUGAGGUAACGGCCCACCAAGGCAACGAUCGGUAGCCGGACUGAGAGGUGAACGGCCACAUGGGACUGAGACACGGCCCAG